rnacentral:rRNA from 1 species
CUGCUCGAAAGAGCAGCUAAUACCGCAUACGACCUGAGGGUGAAAGCGGGGGAUCGCAAGACCUCGCGCGAUUGGAGCGGCCGAUAUCAGAUUAGGUAGUUGGUGGGGUAAAGGCCUACCAAGCCGACGAUCUGUAGCUGGUCUGAGAGGACGACCAGCCACACUGGGACUGAGACACGGCCCAGACUCCUACGGGAGGCAGCAGUGGGGAAUUUUGGACAAUGGGCGCAAGCCUGAUCCAGCCAUGCCGCGUGCGGGAAGAAGGCCUUCGGGUUGUAAACCGCUUUUGUCAGGGAAGAAAAGACUCCUGCUAAUACCGGGGGUUCAUGACGGUACCUGAAGAAUAAGCACCGGCUAACUACGUGCCAGCAGCCGCGGUAAUACGUAGGGUGCAAGCGUUAAUCGGAAU